rnacentral:tRNA from 1 species
GGUGCUAUAGUGUAGUGGUAAUCACUUGGGAUUCUGAUGCAUUUCAUGCACGACUUCAUCUUCCCAAAACCCAGGUUCAAGCCCUGGUAGCACCU